UUGAAAGGGAAACGAUUGAAGUCAGUCGUACCAGCGGGAAUCAACCUUUCGAGUGGGGGUUUUGGAGUUUUGAAGAGUGUCAAAACCUUUGAGAUUUCAAAAUUUUCGCUCCUUUGGUGUACUUUCUCGUGGGUAGGUUAACAUCGAUUUCGAUCAUCAUAAAAGGAUUGGAGGAAUGUAGCUUCGAUCUUGUAUUGAAGUGUUAUAGCCUUUGGUAAAUGUGAUGAUUAGGAUCGAGGAUUGCAACGAAUACCCUUUUGGGCUAUCCGCCUGAUCUCUGAUACGUGGCCUUGGUAUCGAAAGCGUGCUUAUGGUAUUGAGGUAUUACGGUCAAAAGGUUAGAACGGAUUACAUUCGUUAAGGAUGUUGACGUA
rnacentral:rRNA from 1 species